CUAAACAGCACACGACUUCCUUCCUCCCCAAGCCAAAAGACCCUUAUAAAAUGACCCAAACAAAGCCUCUCAGCUCAUCAUCAACCCUAGUUCAUUUCCACUGGUCUCUCAACAAAGACGCCUGGAACAUGUUUUCAGGCCAUGGCAACUCAUGGGUACUGUCUAGCUGAAGCAUAUGUGUUGCGAAGAUUACACAACGAUAAAUUGAAGAGAAUGGAAGAGGAGAAGGCUAAGAUGGAUGAUGAUGAUGAUGAGCUUGAUAUCGAAGUGAACUGUUUCUUAUCCAUCUUCAAGAAAGUCUUUCCAGCCCGAGCCGUGCUGGAGGUUGGCGCAGGAAAAGAAGCACAGAGGUUGGAUUCUAAGUAUCAGCUUGUAUACAACAAAAUAAAAGAUGCGAGUCCUGCUUUAUUGCAUCUUUACUUUCCUCAACCUGUUCAUCAAAGACUCUAUAGAUGUUUGUAUUCUGGUGCCAUCUGUCUGCACAACUACUUGAGAUGCCUGGUGCAAACUUUGAAUCCCACGACCCAAACUGGCAAUUGACGGGGCUGCAGGAAGAGAUUCAACAGCACAUUCAAUCCCAUCUCCAUACAUGAGCAAUGCUGAGCAAGUUGCAACACUGCAACCAAAUGCUGUCCAAGAGGCUAUAACACUGUGGACCACUGUCCGGAUUUUCUCAGCAGAAACAGCUGCUUUCAACGCAGAUGUUGCAUUGGCUCCAGAAUUGGCCAGUCCAGGGGCCAGCAGUUUUGUUGGACCAAGAGUCUUGCCCAUAGAUAUUGCCA